AUGUCGCGUGACGAGGUUCCUGACGCACGAGUCCAUUCCUAUGCUGCCAUCUUCAUCGACAACCUGCUCAUCACCCAAGGACGUGGUAGAGUCCAGGCACCCGGGGUCUUGGUCAAUGUGCUGGUGCUGGCAACAAGGUCUUCACCCUACGCUGCCGCUGAUAUCAACCCUUUUGCCGAGAAGAUUAUUCAGGGCCUGUCCAGGGCGCUAAGUUACCCCGAUUCUUACGAUCGAGAACCCCUAUCUCAUGAAGUGCCUGAUGAGAGUGCUUGGGGUCGCAACCAUGGCUGCCCAAACUGUUCACGAGACAACCGCUCGUCUUGUGGGCAUUCUGAUGGAGGUGUGCAACAACCGCAAGAACCCCUUAUUUUCUUCUUUCUUUCUUAUUAUUGA
rnacentral:rRNA from 1 species